rnacentral:rRNA from 1 species
AUUGAACGCUGGCGGCAGGCCUAACACAUGCAAGUCGAGCGAGGGGCGGACGGGUGAGUAACGUAUGGGAAUCUGCCUUAUGACGGGGGAUAACUACUGGAAACGGUAGCUAAUCCCGCAUACCUGCAGCUGAACCCUUGUGGGAUUAGCUAGUAGGUGAGGUAACGGCUUACCUAGGCGACGAUCCCUAGCUGGUCUGAGAGGAUGAACAGCCACACUGGGACUGAGACACGGCCCAGACUCCUACGGGAGGCAGCAGUGGGGAAUAUUGCACAAUGGGCGCAAGCCUGAUGGAGCCAUGCCGCGUGAAUGAAGAAGGUCUUCGGGUUGUAAAGUACUUUCAGUCGGGAGGCGGUACCGACAGAAGAAGCCCCGGCUAACUCCGUGCCAGCAGCCGCGGUAAUAC